CCUACGGGAGGCUGCAGUGGGGAAUAUUGCACAAUGGGGGGAACCCUGAUGCAGUAACGCCGCGUGGGUGAAGAAGUACUUCGGUAUGUAAAGCCCUGUCAGCAGGGAAGAAAAUGACGGUACCUGACCCAGAAGCCCCGGCUAACUACGUGCCAGCAGCCGCGGUAAUACGUAGGGGGCAAGCGUUAUCCGGAUUUACUGGGUGUAAAGGGAGCGUAGACGGCAAGGCAAGUCUGGAGUGAAAGACCGUGGCUCAACCACGGGACUGCUUUGGAAACUGUGUUGCUGGAGUGCAGGAGGGGUAAGCGGAAUGCCUAGUGUAGCGGUGAAAUGCGUAGAUAUGAGGAGGAACACCGGUGGCGAAGGCGGCUUACUGGACUGUAACUGACGUUGAGGCUCGAAGGCGUGGGGAGCAAACAGGAUUAGAUACCCGUGUAGUC
rnacentral:rRNA from 1 species